CAAACUAUCGGACGGUUCAGGCGUGCAAGCGUCCGCGUCUAAUUCUGCUAUUCGGAUUUCUUAACACUUGACGAAUUGUGAAUUAGUUAUUUAAAUAUUCUACCAUGUUUGACAUAUUGAUGUUAUUCUGUAUCCUUUGUAAUCAUGCCUUGGAAUUGGAUUGUUUUGAAAUUUGCUCAAAAAACGUUAACUUAUUUUGUAUAAUUUGUUAAUGUCCAUUUGUUAAUGGUGUGUUUUGUUUUGCUGUUGCAGUAGCUGUUACGCGCCUCAAUUCAGCAGUUGACCAAGAUUCCUGCGUCUUCAGUUUGAUUUCAAGUAUAGGCAGCCACAGACAAUGUUUCCAGAUGGGGAUAUCGGACUAAAGUGGUAUAACUCAAUGUGUCUUAGCAAGAGAUUCAUCAGUGAAGUAAACAUGAAGUUGAGAUGCCAAACUAAUUUAUUGAUGCCAUGAUUGUUGAGAAAGGCAUCAUUCCUGCUCCUGACCUCAGCCUCCAAAGCGCUCUGCAUUGUGUCCACAACUCUCUGGUGGUUCCUCUUCA